AGCAGCCGCGGUAAUUCCAGCUCCAAUAGCGUAUAUUAAAGUUGUUGCAGUUAAAAAGCUCGUAGUUGAAUUUCGGGGUCAGUAGGUCGGUCGUGCCACUGGUAUGAACUGGUUUUACUGAUUCCUCCCUCUUGAAGAACUGUAAUGCCAUUAAUUUGGUGUUGCAGGGAAUCAGGACUGUUACUUUGAAAAAAUUAGAGUGUUUAAAGCAGGCUUUAGCUUGAAUACAUUAGCAUGGAAUAAUGAAAUAGGACGUUUGGUCCUAUUUUGUUGGUUUCUAGGAUUGACGUAAUGAUUAAUAGGGAUAGUUGGGGGCAUUAGUAUUCAAUUGUCAGAGGUGAAAUUCUUGGAUUUAUUGAAGACUAACUACUGCGAAAGCAUUUGCCAAGGAUGUUUUCAUUAAUCAAGAACGAAAGUUAGGGGAUCGAAGACGAUCAGAUACCGUCGUAGUCUUAACCAUAAACUAUGCCGACUAGGGAUCGGAUGAUGUUAAUUUUUUAAUGACUCAUUCGGCGCCUUA
rnacentral:rRNA from 1 species